rnacentral:tRNA from 1 species
UAGGGAGACCUACUUUUGAGUCGAGUGCCCAAUCCAAAAAUACAGCACCCUCAAAAGUCAUCCCAGGUCGUGCUAGGAAAAAAGAGACUUUCAAACGUAUCUCAAGUUCGGGAAAAGGGCUAUUAGCUCAGGUGGUUAGAGCGCACCCCUGAUAAGGGUGAGGUCCCUGGUUCAAGUCCAGGAUGGCCCACCUAAGAAACUGUGGGGGUAUAGCUCAGUUGGUAGAGCGCUGCCUUUGCAAGGCAGAUGUCAGCGGUUCGAGUCCGCUUACCUCCACUGAAAAUAUUCCUAGAACCCAUCAGCACUACAGCUUUCCGAAAAGAAAGAGUAAAUGCUGGGAAAAGUUCCAGCCAGAACCUUGAAAACUGCAUAGAAGAAUCAAAAGGGAUCAAGAAUGAAACCAGAACCGGGAAUUAGAAACCCGGAAAAGUUCUGGUGUUCAGGAGUUCGGAAACGAACAGAAAUUCUCGAAAAGAGAGAAAGU